rnacentral:rRNA from 1 species
CUACGGGGCGCAGCAGUGGGGAAUAUUGCACAAUGGGCGCAAGCCUGAUGCAGCCAUGCCGCGUGUAUGAAGAAGGCCUUCGGGUUGUAAAGUACUUUCAGCGGGGAGGAAGGGAGUAAAGUUAAUACCUUUGCUCAUUGACGUUACCCGCAGAAGAAGCACCGGCUAACUCCGUGCCAGCAGCCGCGGUAAUACGGAGGGUGCAAGCGUUAAUCGGAAUUACUGGGCGUAAAGCGCACGCAGGCGGUUUGUUAAGUCAGAUGUGAAAUCCCCGGGCUCAACCUGGGAACUGCAUCUGAUACUGGCAAGCUUGAGUCUCGUAGAGGGGGGUAGAAUUCCAGGUGUAGCGGUGAAAUGCGUAGAGAUCUGGAGGAAUACCGGUGGCGAAGGCGGUCCCCUGGACGAAGACUGACGCUCAGGUGCGAAAGCGUGGGGAGCAAACAGGAUUAGAUACCCUUGUAGUC